rnacentral:siRNA from 1 species
AGGGCUGAAAAUUCAGGCAACCCA